AUUGAACGCUGGCGGCAGGCCUAACACAUGCAAGUCGAGCGGAUGAAGAGAGCUUGCUCUCUGAUUUAGCGGCGGACGGGUGAGUAAUGCCUAGGAAUCUGCCUGGUAGUGGGGGAUAACGUUCCGAAAGGAACGCUAAUACCGCAUACGUCCUACGGGAGAAAGCAGGGGACCUUCGGGCCUUGCGCUAUCAGAUGAGCCUAGGUCGGAUUAGCUAGUUGGUGAGGUAAUGGCUCACCAAGGCGACGAUCCGUAACUGGUCUGAGAGGAUGAUCAGUCACACUCGAACUGAGACUCGGUCCAGACUCCUACGGGAGACAGCAGUGGGGAAUAUUGGACAAUGGGCGAAAGCCUGAUCCAGCCAGGCCGCGUGUGUGAAGAAGGUCUUCGGAUUGUAAAGCACUUUAAGUUGGGAGGAAGGGUUGUAGAUUAAUACUCUGCAAUUUUGACGUUACCGACAGAAUAAGCACCGGCUAACUCUGUGCCAGCCGCCGCCGUAAAAC
rnacentral:rRNA from 1 species